GGGUUGUGAGGUUAAGCGACUAAGCGUACACGGUGGAUGCCCUGGCAGUCAGAGGCGAUGAAGGGCGUGCUAAUCUGCGAUAAGCGCCGGUAAGGUGAUAUGAACCGUUAUAACCGGCGAUACCCGAAUGGGGAAACCCAGUGUGAUUCGUCACACUAUCAUUAACUGAAUCCAUAGGUUAAUGAGGCGAACCGGGGGAACUGAAACAUCUAAGUACCCCGAGGAAAAGAAAUCAACCGAGAUUCCCCCAGUAGCGGCGAGCGAACGGGGAGGAGCCCAGAGCCUGAAUCAGCAUGUGUGUUAGUGGAAGCGUCUGGAAAGUCGCGCGAUACAGGGUGACAGCCCCGUACACAAAAGCGCAUGUGUUGUGAGCUCGAUGAGUAGGGCGGGACACGUGGUAUCCUGUCUGAAUAUGGGGGGACCAUCCUCCAAGGCUAAAUACUCCUGACUGACCGAUAGUGAACCAGUACCGUGAGGGAAAGGCGAAAAGAACCCCGGCGAGGGGAGUGAAAAAGAACCUGAAACCGUGUACGUACAAGCAGUGGGAGCACAGGUUUACCUGUGUGACUGCGUACCUUUUGUAUAAUGGGUCAGCGACUUAUAUUCUGUAGCAAGGUUAACCG
rnacentral:rRNA from 1 species